rnacentral:rRNA from 1 species
AUCUGAGUAUUAAUAAAUAAUCUAAUUAUGGCUGCUUUAGUUGAAUCUGUGACAUCUUUAAGGGAAACUGGGAUUUGAUACCCCRUUAUUUUUAGUUAUAAAUUUAAUUUAAUUUACCAGAGUACUACGAACACAAAGUUUAAAACUCAAAGGGSUUGGCGGUGUUUUAGACCACUCAUGGGAACCUGUCUCGUAAUCGAUGAUCCACGUUAAACCUGACCUUUUUUUGCAUUCAGCUUGUAUACCGUCGUCGUCAGGUAACUUCUAAAAAAUUAAAAGUUAGCGAAAGAAUUUGUAAAUUAUAAUGUCAGAUCAGGGUGCAGCUUAUAAAAAGGGGAGGAUGGGUUACAAUUAUAAAUCUUAAUUACGGAAGAUCGUUAGAAUUGAUCGAUCUGAAGGAGGACUUGAAAGUAAUUUUGAGUAUAUAAAUUAUAUGAAUAAGGCUCUGAAAUGUG